rnacentral:piRNA from 1 species
UGCACGUGCACUUUUGCGGUAGUGGGUGU